CUCGCCCACGUGUUUUCGGAUUGAGUUUUGCGGGGCGGGUGCCGGAGUGAGUGUGUCUCGCCGAGUUGGGUGUUCGCUAAGCGGAGGGGUGUGGACCUUCAGCGCUGAGGCUGUCGAGUUGGGAGCCGCCGAAGGCUGCGUGUCGGGCGGACUUCUUGUACCCUCUUUUAGAGGGGAGUUUUUAAAAAUCCCGCUUGUGGGCCAUUGAGGCCCAUUGUGUUAGUACUGCAUCGCAAUCUCCCGGGAACGCCAGACCCACGGAUAGGCCCGUACGAAGCCGAAGGCCGUGGCUUCCCGUAAUCCUACCCUACGAUGGCUAGCGGGGCGGCCACUGUCCUUUACUUUCACUGAAGUUUGACGUGACGGGAACCUCCACCUACUCUCCGACGGUCGGUGCGUAGGGGGCCUACCUCUGCAGCAGACCGGGUUCUCAAGCUCUCAUGUUCCUGGGGGAAUCGUCCCACGGCGACGCUCAAGCCGGACCCAAAUGCUUAUGUUGUAAUUAAUAGAGCUGUGUCAUACUUAUAUUGUAAUAAAUAGAGCUGUGUCAGAUUUACGUUGUUUGUAAUGGGGCAAUAUAACGCGAACACUAAAACAUUCUGGGGACACAAACUGUGAACAUAAUUUUGGCCGGUAAUCAAACGGAUGUAUAUAAUUAAUUUUGGUUUAUUUCUUUCUCGUAAUAAAUAGUUUAAUUUUGUGAUUGAUAA
rnacentral:lncRNA from 1 species